rnacentral:rRNA from 1 species
UACGUAGGGGGCAAGCGUUGUCCGGAAUUAUUGGGCGUAAAGAGCUCGUAGGCGGCUCGUUGCGUCGGCUGUGAAAACCCGCAGCUCAACUGUGGGCUUGCAGCCGAUACGGGCGGGCUGGGAUUCGGUAGGGGAGACUGGAAUUCCUGGUGUAGCGGUGAAAUGCGCAGAUAUCAGGAGGAACACCGGCGGCGAAGGCGGGUCUCUGGGCCGAUAUCGACGCUGAGGAGCGAAAGCGUGGGGAGCGAACAGG